UGCCUAUCAAAAUUGUUUUGGGAAUAUGACUGUUUUGAACAAAGUGUUUGAAUGAUUUUAUGAAAUUUUUCAUGAAAAUGAAUGCCUUGGGAACAAGCUUUUGAGAAAAGGUUUAUGUUAUGAAAUGUGGUUAUUAUGGAUUUCUAUGUGGCUGCAUUAUGUUGAUAUACAUAUAUGCUUGAAUAUAAUGUUGUGUAAUUAUGUUGACUCGGCUAUGUGCGAGUAGGGAGUGUGCAUAAGCCGAGGAUGACCCGGUUAUGUGCGAGUAGGGAGUGCGCAUAAUCCGGUGAUGACCCAGCCAUGUGCGAGUAGGGAGUGCGCAUGAGCUGGUGAUGAUGAUGAUGAUGUGGUGGUGAUGAUGAUGAUGGGUUGGUGAGAUGAUGAUGAUGGGUAUAUACGUAUAUAUAUAUAUAUAUACAUAUGUAAAUGUGUGUGAUAUAGCAAAUUGAUGGACAAUGAUUUAUGGUUGUAAUGUACGUAAAAUUUGACACAUUAUACUUUGAGAAUUUUCAUGAAUGUUAGGUUGAUUUUAUUAGUUUAGCAGGAUGGCUUUUGUUGAGUGAGGAAAAAUGUUUCUCUUGUUGCUUUGUUUUCACUGCAUCGAAAUUCAUGCUCGCUGUAGCGAAAAACUCUGGGGUUUGGAGGGGUUUUAAAUAGGAAUGAACUAAAUUGCAUUGUUUGAAACAAGUGCAUCAUGAUUUUAAAUUUUUCCUAAUUGUUGCUUGUUCCCUUCCUUGUUCACUCACUGGG
rnacentral:lncRNA from 1 species